GUAAAUUACAACGUAAAGAUGUAAACAAACUCGGUGGUUGAUAUAAAUGUGGAGUACAGAAUUUGUUGGUAAUUUGCAUCGAAAUCGACUAUUGUUUAGUGCAAAUGUAAUAAAAUGUGACCAUGCAAAAUAUCCGGCGUCGGAUAAAGCUGUACCGCAGUAGUAGAUAAUAUGCAAGCGGCAGACAACCAUACAGCGGCAGGAAUAAAAGCAACAUAAAACCUCACUGCGACAAUACCGGAGACUAGUUUUUGGAAUGACCAUCUGGCAGAAAGAUGUUUGAACUGUGGGCC